UACGAAGGGGGGCUAGCGUUGUUCGGAUUUACUGGGCGUAAAGCGCACGUAGGCGGAUCGUUAAGUCGGGUGUGAAAUCCCAGAGCUCAACUCUGGAACUGCCUUUGAUACUGGGUAUCUCGAGUAUGGAAGAGGUGAGUGGAAUUCCGAGUGUAGAGGUGAAAUUCGUAGAUAUCGGGAGGAACACCGGUGGCGAAGGCGGCGACCUGGGUCGAUACUGACGCUGAGGUGCGAAAGCGUGGGGAGCAAACAGG
rnacentral:rRNA from 1 species